GGGAACAUGGCCCACACAGCCCUGUGGCCCCUGACGAGGAUGUGGGCAAUGCAAUACGGUCCUUUGUGUCCACUGUCAUAACAAAAGCUCUAGCCUGCAACAAGGGAGCCAGCAGCAAGGCAAGGCUUUCUCCCUCAGGCAGAGGUCCCGGGACCAAAGGCCCCAGAACACCACCUCUCACCACAGCAGCGGCCCAAAACUGGAAGAGUCGGCACUCGUCCAAAAGCAGCCUUGCAUCCCCUGCUGAAGAAAUGGAAGACCCAGUAAAGGCCUUUGUCUCCACUGCAACAAGAAUUGCCCUUGCCUGGAACCAGGGAGCCAUGAGGGAGGCAAGGCUUCCUCCCGUGGGCAGACCUCCCACGAGCAAAGGACACAGAACACCACCUCUGCCUGCAACUGGGCCCCAGAAUUUAAAGAAGAGCUGGCACCCUGCCCCACACAGCCCUGCAGACUCUUGCACGGCACUGCAGGACACAGCACACUCCCGCGUGUCUGAAGUGCUGGAGAAGACGCAAAAAAGCUGGGAACACGGCCAACGAUCAGCAGCACUUGGGGACCUGGCACAAACGGGGUGCAAAUUGAGAGCAACAAGUUCAGCCGGGGUCCAGACAGACAUGGAGAGGACGUGGACGACUUCUCUGCCAGGGCCUGAUUCCCGGGUAUGUGCAGGAGCACGGGCUUCCAGCAGAGACCCUGCAGCAGCUAGCCCAGGCCAGGGUAAGAAGCAAAAACAACAGAGAGAGAAACACGUCAAACCCAGGCAGGGGACAGGCAACGAGGGGAAAAGCAAAGCCGGGGCAAGACAGAGAGCAGUCCUGGGGGAUGCGAUGAAGAGGAGGGGAUCGUCAUCCUCAACUCCUGGAUUAACCCCAGGUUCGCCAGCCUCUUCACAGACCCACAGGACGUUCCCCAGGAAGAGGGCAGCGCAGCCAGCAGUGUGGACAGGGAGGCAGCAGAAGAAGCAAAACACCCAGCAAGCGCCUCUCCUGGCUCACUGCAAACCAUGGACACUGCCCCAUCAGCUGCUCCCCAGGAAGAAAUUCCUGGGGAAGAGAGGCACAGCACGCCUCUCACUUCAACAACAUGGGCACAGAGCAGGCCAGCAAGUCCUCCAGCAGCCCCUGCUCUGGAAGAUGAGGGACACAGAGCGUCUCCCCUGACAUGUGGGGCUCAACAGUCGAAGCCAUCAG
rnacentral:lncRNA from 1 species